UAGAAGAAGACGGGGCAUCAAGUACAUCCGGGUAAUAUUAUGGUCGGAGCUUAUGAAUGCAGUGGUCAUAGAAGUUUGGUAAGAACACUGAGGAGAGUUUGUGAUGUUUCGUUCACCCUGACAGCUACACUGUUUAACCAGGAAGGGAUGCCACCUUUAGCUGGAGCCGAGUUGGUCCACACUCCAUUGCAGCUGUAUCGAUACCUGCUCAGGUGCUGCAGGCAGUUACCGUCCACAGCAAUGCAACAACACUAUCGACAUGCCAUAAGACAGGGUUACAACAGCCACUCAGAUGAAGACGACCCUGAGAGGACACAGAUGAUCAUCCAGAGAGCGAUUGCAGAUGCUGACUGGAUUCUUGAUAAAUAUACCAAGAAGAAAUGAGCGCGUGUCCACGGCGGUGCAUUUUGCAGGGCUGUCCCGGAGUCACACUGGUGAAGGUUCCUCAGGCUGCGUAUGUAAUGAUGUAGAAGCAGAACUGAAGGGGACGACAUACGACCGACAAGGCUUCUAGAUUAUCUUCCAUGCUGAAGAAGAAGGAGAACAUGGAAGAUGGCAGCAAGUACAGCUGCUAACAUAUCGCUGCCCGUACUUGUUAAUAGUAAAAGUCUGGUAUGGAAGUACUGAAACACACUUUACUACUUUGUUUGAGACAGCUAGCAUCAAAUCAGCUGUGUUCCUUACUAGAGCUGGGCAGUCAAAAAGGAAUCAAAACUGACACUGGGAAUCU